UAUGGCGACCGGCGCACGGGUGAGUAACACGUAUCCAGCCUGCCGAUGACUCGGGGAUAGCCUUUCGAAAGAAAGAUUAAUACCCGAUGGCAUAGUUCUUCCGCAUGGUGGAACUAUUAAAGAAUUUCGGUCAUCGAUGGGGAUGCGUUCCAUUAGGUUGUUGGCGGGGUAACGGCCCACCAAGCCUUCGAUGGAUAGGGGUUCUGAGAGGAAGGUCCCCCACAUUGGAACUGAGACACGGUCCAAACUCCUACGGGAGGCAGCAUG
rnacentral:rRNA from 1 species